rnacentral:rRNA from 1 species
UACGGGGGGGGCAAGCGUUGUUCGGAAUUACUGGGCGUAAAGCGCGCGCAGGCGGUCUUCCAAGUCAGUGGUGAAAGCCCGGAGCUCAACUCCGGAACUGCCAUUGAAACUGUGAGACUUGAGGAUGAGAGAGGUGAGUGGAAUUCCCAGUGUAGAGGUGAAAUUCGUAGAUAUUGGGAAGAACACCGGUGGCGAAGGCGGCUCACUGGCUCAUUUCUGACGCUCAGGCGCGACAGCGUGGGGAUCAAACAGG